rnacentral:tRNA from 1 species
AUUUAAAUAGCUUAAUAAGAGCAUGAUAUUGAAGAUAUUAGGGUGAUUUUUAUAAUCUUUAAAUA